GUAGGGAGCAAGCGUUGUCCGGAAUCAUUGGGCGUAAAGCGCGCGUAGGCGGCCCUGUAAGUCCGCUGUGAAAGUCAAAGGCUCAACCUUUGAAAGCCGGUGGAUACUGCAGGGCUAGAGUCCGGAAGAGGCGAGUGGAACUCCUGGUGUAGCGGUGGAAUGCGCAGAUAUCAGGAAGAACACCAACGGCGAAGGCAGCUCGCUGGGACGGCACUGACGCUAAGGCGCGAAAGCGUGGGGAGCGAACAGGAUUAGAUACCCUGGUAGUCCACGCCGUAAACGAUGGGCAUUAGGUGUGGGAGGUGUCGACUCCUCCCGUGCCGACGCUAACGCAUUAAAUGCCCCGCCUGGGGAGUACGGCCGCAAGGCUA
rnacentral:rRNA from 1 species